CUAAAAUUGUGAAGACAAAACACCGUGGUUCUUUAAUACUUUGAGGAACGGACUCUCUCAUUGAGGGGAUUGAGAGAGGUGGACGACAAGCACAGGAACUGGACAAGAACAGGAGGUUCUUGAAAUUCCACUUCGUGAUACAAUCAGCUAAAGACCAGGAGGCUGUAUUGGAUAGCAGAUUAAGCUAGCAGGAGAUUAGCAGUAUCUACGGCAGUAGAUAGUGGGACUGGAACAGCGGGUCUGAUUGGGUACGGAGUUUGGUAGAACUUGUACUUGCCUGAUUGGUAUAGUGGAAACUACUGGCUUGGUCCCGGAGUUUUACCCACAUUGGAGUUUCUCCGUCAUCAAACAAUUGUGUUCUUUAUAUUUCUGCAAUUUACUUAUUUUCGGUAAUUCAAUGUAGGAUAGUAAAGCAUGUGAAUUGACUUGGAC
rnacentral:lncRNA from 1 species